rnacentral:rRNA from 1 species
CCUACGGGUGGCUGCAGUGGGGAAUAUUGCACAAUGGGGGAAACCCUGAUGCAGCAACGCCGCGUGAGCGAUGCAGGCCUUCGGGUCGUAAAGCUCUGUCCUAAGGGAAGAAUACUGACGGUAUCUUAGGAGGAAGCCUCGGCUAACUACGUGCCAGCAGCCGCGGUAAUACGGAGGGGGCGAGCGUUAUCCGGAAUUACUGGGCGUAAAGGGUGCGUAGGCGGCCCUUCAAGUCAGUGGUGAAAGGCUACGGCUCAACCAUAGUAAGCCUUUGAAACUGUAGGACUUGAGUGCAGGAGAGGAGAGUGGAAUUCCCAGUGUAGCGGUGAAAUGCGACGAUAUUGGGAGGAACACCGGUUGCGAAGGCGGCUCUCUUGACUGUAACUAACGCUGAGGCACGAAAACGUGGGGAGCGAACAGGAUUAGAUACCCUGGUAGUC